rnacentral:lncRNA from 10 species
CUGUGGUGAGAUUUGGUCAAAACCUCAGCUUCUGUGCCUUUCACACACAUUUUGUCUCUGUAUACUUCAGAGUUCACCUUUUUGUCACUUUCCUGGGUUGUUAAUCUACCCUGCCUUCUUAGAUCUUCUCCAGCCUCCAGAUUCUUCCAGAUCUUUCUAAGGAUACAGGGAGUCAACUUGCACAAAGAAAGUUCUCCCGGUGUGUCUUAUGGUCCAGGACAUGGAGUAUCUUUGUGAACAUCACAUUUAAGCUGGAGAAGAAUGUGCAGUCUGCCGUUUUUGGAUGGAGUAUUUUAGAAAUUUGUCAAUGAGAUCAAGUUGAUUGAUUGAGCAUGCCAUUCAGGGCAACUGUAUCCUGACUGAUUUUCUGUCUGCUUCAUCUAUCAAGUCCUGAAAGAGGUGUGUUGAAGUCUUCAACUACAAGAGUGGAUUUUGUCCAUUUCUCCUUGAAUUACAUCAGUUUUUGCCUCACAUAUUUUGCUGUUCUUUUGUUCAAAAAUAAUAAAGCUAUUUUAACUUCCUAUUGAUUAGUGUUAGCAAGGUGUAUCUUUCCUCAUCCCUUUGUUCUUAACAUAUCUGAGUCUUUAUAUUUAAAGGGGA